GAUGAACGCUAGCGGCAGGCUUAACACAUGCAAGUCGAGGGGUAGAAGGAGCUUGCUCCUUUGAGACCGGCGCACGGGUGCGUAACGCGUAUGCAAUCUACCUUUUGCAGAGGGAUAGCCCAGAGAAAUUUGGAUUAAUACCUCAUAGUAUGUGAGGAUGGCAUCAUUUUCACAUUAAAGUCACAACGGCAAAGAUGAGCAUGCGUCCCAUUAGCUAGUUGGUAAGGUAACGGCUUACCAAGGCUACGAUGGUAGGGUCCUGAGAGGGAGAUCCCCCACACUGGUACUGAGACACGGACCAG
rnacentral:rRNA from 1 species